rnacentral:lncRNA from 1 species
AGAAAAGUAAAUUAUCAUGAAGCUACAACAACUAACUCUUCCUAUAGCAUAACAAAAAACGAGUUUUAAGAUAGAAAAUCAAAAGUAAAAUAUAUAGAGUUAAAACCUAGAUAUGUAAUUUUAUCAAACAGAUGGUCUACACGAAAUCAUUAAGAAACAAACCAAACAUUGAUAUUGAUUAAGAUGCAGUGUCUAACAAAUAGGAAAGGUAGGAGAAGAAAAAAGGUAGCAGUAAGAGUAAGAGCAGUUACCUUGACUCAAGCAACGACGAUGAUGAUAGUUUCAGAUCUCUUUUACUUAUUGAUUUGUUUCCUUUUCAAGUCCCUUCUUUUCCUACAUAUUCCUUCGUCUCACAACUGAAUGAUUAAACAGAAUCGGCGGAAAGGCACUGAAGAAAGACAUUUUGCGUUCUUGCAGGCUUUGAUGUUUGUGGGCUUCAAUGGGGGUGGUUGAGUUGAGUGAGCCUAGGUUAAAAAUUUCUAUUAUUUUUAUUAACUAAGUAAUCCAAAAUAAUUAUACAGUCCUUCCUUAUUUAUUCCUCCUUCUCAAAAAAAAAAAAAAUAAUUCAUUUGACAAAUGCUAAAAUUAUUAAGUUGCAUGUCAUAUGCUAGUUCAUGACCCCGAAUCUUUGAUCACUAUAAUGUACACACUACAAACUCCUUUAGUCUUGAGAGCCUUCCACGAAACCUUUCUAUGGACUAUAGCUUACUAGUAUGUGUUUUAUCCAUACAAAUGAAAACCUCAAAACCAUGUUUAAAUAUUUUCAGUUCUUCGAAGAAUUUUCCAUCAAUCAUUGUAAGAAAUAUUUAGCUUUCAUGGACAUGAAACCAAAUUGAUUCUAUGUGAUGUCAGUCUUGUCUUAAUCUCUACUUAAUAACUCCCCCCCAUAGCUUCAUAUAUGAAACUAAGCUUUACCCCUCAAUAAUUUGCAAUAGAUUUGUAUGUCAAAACUUUUUCUUACAGAUAGAGAUUAUAGUAUCCUUUACCUUAUUUUUCGCUCAAUAGCCUAAUUACCUGAAUUAGAACUUCUUUCAAAGUCAUCCUACCAUUGGCUAGAAUUUCAUUCUCAGUUUGCAAGUUAUGCAACCACUGCUUGAAUAAAGAGGAAUCAAUAGCACUCCUGCAAUAGGAAACCUAAAAAACCAAACCAAAAGGACCAAAGCUACCCAAUUUGUAUAACACAGAAACCAAACAUCGGAUAUACUAAAUGAAACAUGUUUCAACACAAACAAAAACAACAGCAAUUAUAUGCAUGUCAAUCUGCUUUUGCUAUAGUAUUCUGCAAAAUUCUAGCAUCAAGUUGAAUGAAACUGAGUUUACAAAUUUUAAUUUGAUUCAAAUUUUUUAAAUAAAUAAAUAAAAAUAUUGGAAGAGGGUCAUAUGAUCAUAUCAUAUUUCAUAAUAUCUUUGGCUUUGAUAGAAUCCCAACUAGAACAAUUCUGAAUUACUAGAAUACCAUUUUCCUGAUAACUUGACUUUUUUCGGGACCACACUUCCUUCUUAAUUCUUCUUGUAGGACAUCUAUUUAGGACAUAGGCUGCAAUGGUUACUGCCUUACCCCAAAACCAAUGAGGCACAUUUCUUUGUUUCAUCAUAUGCUUCUAACCAUAUCUAGGACUAUUUUAUUUCUUUUGUCUACUAAUCCAUUAUGUUGAGCGGUGUAAGGAACAGUUACCUCGUAUCGGAUGCCUUGGUCAACAAAACUUUUCAAACUCUUUUCAGGUGUAUUCUCCCCCACCAUAAGUUCUCACAAUUUCCUACUGAUUUACUACCAGAACAGAUAUCACUUAGCACUCAUACUAUUAAUAAAAUGUUGGGAGUGAGGGUAGAAGGCUAGUCAGGAGUAAUAGGAAAAUAAACCCAAAAUAGCUACAAUUCAAACAACCACCUCACCUUAGUACUGUGAGCUAGGCAUACGCUAUGCCAGUGAAAGAGGAAUGAACUGAUUUUGGGGCUAAG